GAUUUUGACAUGAUUUACAAUUAUUUAAAAAACCAAAUGAUUGUCUGUAAAUUUUACCAAUUCUAUUUGAUUUAAUUUUUUUUUGUGAAAAAUUAAAAUUCCUCAUUCGGUUAUAUUUUAUUCACAAUCUAAAAUAACCUCUAUUUCAAUGCUUUUUGGAUAUAUCGUUUAUCGCUUAUGUAGAUAUACGAAGAUGUGGUAUGAAUGCAAAUGAGACAACUCUCUAUCCAAGCCCCAACUUGUAAAAGAAAAAUCAUUAUAGGUCAUAGUACGGUCUUCAACAUGGAAAAUUAAAAUUCGUCAUCGUUUAUCCAUAAUUUAAAAUAACCUCUUUUUUUCAAUGGUUUUUUUUUUAUAUAUAUAUUGUUGAUCGCUUAUUUUUCAUGUGCUUUGUCGAAAGAGUUUAUACAUGCC
rnacentral:lncRNA from 1 species